AGUCGAACGGCAGCAUGGAGAGCUUGUUCUCUGAUGGCGAGUGGCGAACGGGUGAGUAAUAUAUCGGAACGUGCCCAGUAAUGGGGAAUAACUAAUUGAAAGAUUAGCUAAUACCGCAUACGACCUACGGGUGAAAGCAGGGGAUCUUCGGACCUUGCGUUAUUGGAGCGGCCGAUAUCUGAUUAGCUAGUUGGUGGGGUAAAAGCCUACCAAGGCGACGAUCAGUAGCUGGUCUGAGAGGACGAUCAGCCACACUGGAACUGAGACACGGUCCAGACUCCUACGGGAGGCAGCAGUGGGGAAUUUUGGACAAUGGGGGAAACCCUGAUCCAGCCAUCCCGCGUGAGUGAAGAAGGCCUUCGGGUUGUAAAGCUCUUUCGGAAGUGAAGAAAACUUAUUUCGUAAUAUGUUAUAAGAAUGACGGUAACUUUAGAAGAAGCACCGGCUAACUACGUGCCAGCAGCCGCGGUAAUACGUAGGGUGCGAGCGUUAAUCGGAAUUACUGGGCGUAAAGCGUGCGCAGGCGGUUUUGUAAGUCAGAUGUGAAAUCCCCGAGCUUAACUUGGGAACUGCGUUUGAAACUACAAGACUAGAGUGUGUCAGAGGGGGGUAGAAUUCCACGUGUAGCAGUGAAAUGCGUAGAGAUGUGGAGGAAUAUCAAUGGCGAA
rnacentral:rRNA from 1 species